AUCAAUAUUAUAAUGUACUAACAAAUUGCUAAUAAUGCUCAUCUAUAUUUCUUGAUGGAAUUUUAAUAAGAGAGGGUCUUUAUUUAUCAAUUGCAGCUCCUGUUCCAUUUUGGCAUCAAGAAACUAUAGUCAGCCUAUCAACAGUGGAAGGCUUUUUACUUUACAACUCACUCAUUCAGAUUAUCAUAUCUAAUCUCUUAUUGCCUUCAUUAAUUGCUAUAGCGUAAAAUUAGCAACCAGAAUUCAGAACAUUUUUACAGCUGUUAAAUUAUUAGCAGUUGUUAUUAUUGUUAUUGGAGGUGCAGUAAAAAUGGCAGAAGGUAAUACGCAGAAUUUAGUUCCCGAUUUUGAACACGCAACGACUUCAUUUUCAAAUAUUGCCACGGCAUUUUAUUUCGGUUUAUGGGCUUAUGAAGGAUGGUAAUAUAAGCUGUUUUUAUUAAAUGUUUUUUUGGUAAAAAUAUAAAAAAAGGUGUAAUUUUGAUCUAUUGUAAUUAAUUUUGGCUAAUGUUUUCAUCAAAAGAAUUUUUGUUAGUUAACGGAAAAAAGCCUAAAUAACUUCAGAGUUUUUCAAAAAUAAAUUUUAUCAUUUUCAUAAUUCUGAUACUUUCUACAAUUAUUAUUUUAAUGAAAUUUUUCAGAAAACCAAAUCAUAUAGCACACUCAUUAUAUAACUCUACUUACAGUAAAAACUUUAAAAAAUUCAAACACUUUUGGGGUGUACACUUAUCAUUAGAAGUUAACAGAAAUUCUCUUGUCAAGUAUGAUGGACUACUUUAUAUGAGAAAGUAGAGAUUGAAGAAUUGAGAAGAGUACAGAUUUCAAGAAAUUCAAGAAGAGUAACUAAUAUUUCUACAAAUUCUACAAUACUAUCAGAACAUAAUUGAUGCGCGAUAAUACAUUUUAAAUAACAGGCUCAUUAGAUCAUUACUUCCAAUUGGAUAGUAGAAUGUCACACGGUCACUAUGGAAAGCUUUUACACAAUGCAACUAUCUUUCCUUGGGCCGCAAUUUGAAAAAAUUGUAGACAUAAAUUCCCACUAUCGUCCAUCCGUCCAUCUGUCUUUCCUUAAUCUCGAGAAUGGAGUUAGAUAGAUGAAAGACGAGACUAGACAUUUAAACCUUAGGAACAGGAGUUAAUAGAAAUAAAUAGAAUAUUUAGCAUAAUAAAGAUUGAUCAUUAAGAAUACAUAUUUUUUAUAAAUAUUUAAAU